GACUCCUCUCCGCCCGACCGCCGCCGCGCCGCCAUCAUGGACACCAGCCGUGUGCAGCCCAUCAAGCUGGCCAGAGUCACCAAAGUGCUGGGCCGGACCGGCUCCCAGGGACAGUGCACGCAGGUGCGCGUGGAGUUC